AGCCGCGGUAAUACGGAGGAUCCGAGCGUUAUCCGGAUUUAUUGGGUUUAAAGGGUGCGUAGGCGGCCUUUUAAGUCAGCGGUGAAAGUCUGUGGCUCAACCAUAGAAUUGCCGUUGAAACUGGGGGGCUUGAGUAUGUUUGAGGCAGGCGGAAUGCGUGGUGUAGCGGUGAAAUGCUUAGAUAUCACGCAGAACCCCGAUUGCGAAGGCAGCCUGCCAAGCCAUGACUGACGCUGAUGCACGAAAGCGUGGGGAUCAAACAGGAUUAGAUACCCUGGUAGUCCACGCAGUAAACGAUGAUUACUAGGAGUUUGCGAUACAAUGUAAGCUCUACAGCGAAAGCGUUAAGUAAUCCACCUGGGGAGUACGCCGGCAACGGUGAAACUCAAAGGAAUUGACGGGGGCCCGCACAAGCGGAGGAACAUGUGGUUUAAUUCGAUGAUACGCGAGGAACCUUACCCGGGUUUGAACGUAGUCUGACCGGAGUGGAAACACUCUUUCUAGCAAUAGCAGAUUACGAGGUGCUGCAUGGUUGUCGUCAGCUCGUGCCGUGAGGUGUCGGCUUAAGUGCCAUAACGAGCGCAACCCUUAUCACUAGUUACUAACAGGUGAAGCUGAGGACUCUGGUGAGACUGCCAGCGUAAGCUGUGAGGAAGGUGGGGAUGACGUCAAAUCAGCACGGCCCUUACAUCCGGGGCGACACACGUGUUACAAUGGCAUGGACAAAGGGCAGCUACCUGGUGACAGGAUGCUAAUCUCCAAACCAUGUCUCAGUUCGGAUCGGAGUCUGCAACUCGACUCCGUGAAGCUGGAUUCGCUAGUAAUCGCGCAUCAGCCAUGGCGCGGUGAAUACGUUCCCGGGCC
rnacentral:rRNA from 1 species